GCUGGGCAUGGCAGCUCACACCUGUAAUCCCAGUGGCUCAGGAGGCUGAGGCAGGAGGAUCAUGAGUUCAAAGUCAGCCUCAGCAAAGCAACUCAGUGAGAUCUUGUCUCAA
rnacentral:sRNA from 1 species